AGGCAGGAAGAGACAAUCAACAGACCCAGGAUGUGUGGAGCCGGCACCUUCCGGCCCCUCUGUCCAGCCAACGCCAGUGCUUACGGACACUGUCUCGGGACCCAAGGGGGGACACGGCGGGGCCCCAUUUUACAGAUGAGGAAACGGAGUCUCGGCGGGGCAGUGGCCCAUCUAAUGCCCUGCCUCACCGAGGGGCAGCGCCAGGCCGAGAAUCCAGACAACUGUACGGGAAGUACCUUCCCUGGACGUGGUGGCCAGGCUGGCAGCUCCCGGAGCAGGCAGCUUCCUGCUAUAAAUACGAUGCUGACUCCUGGUAACGUUGGCCUCCAGGCUCCCCUGUCCGGGCCCAGGGCCAGGAAUCCAGGAGCCGAAUGCCUGCCACGGAGCUCCUGAUCUGCGGUCUUUUCCUGACACCGUAAUAAGAUGAGGCAACGGAGGCACAGUGAUCUGGAAUCAUCUGCCCAAGGUCACACAGGUCAGGGGCAGAGAGCUGAGAAACGGGCCCAGGGAUUCAUUUGUGAAAAUAAGUAGAAAUGUUUCACAGCAGCAUCCUGAACCCAAUCGCCGCCGUGGGGGUGGAAACCUAGAAAGUCUUGAACUUCAGACAACACAUUCUAGGAGGCCCCUCCCCAAUAAACAAACACACAGCCUUGCA